AGCAGAAGAAGAAGAAGAUAGAGUUUGAGU
rnacentral:sRNA from 1 species